CGCCGAAUCAGCCCGCGCCCCGGAAACAAUCUACUGGACCCUUCACCCCGCGCUCCUCUGUACAGCCACCUGGUUCCACACUACAAAGACGCAGAGGACCCCAGACCACCAGACCAAGGCCACAAGCCUACUGGAAAGUUUCACCCACAAUCGAGUGGGUCUUGCUCCUCAGUUUGCUGGCCUACAUGCUUUUCAUCUGUAGAAACACCCCACAGACAUAUCCAGAGUCUUUUGCUAGGGAUCUUCAUGGACAGAACCCAGUCAGAAGUCUGAGAGUGAGCAGUUCAGAAGCAGUUAAAAUCCGAAAUGUCCAGGAAGCAUCUUGACAGCUAAAUAAUAAAAGCCACAAUUGUGUCCUCUGGUAGAAGCACUGUUCUCCAAAACCUACAAUUCCAC
ensembl:lncRNA